rnacentral:lncRNA from 1 species
GCUGGUUCAACGAAGGAGAAGGGAAGAAUAUGGGUUCGAUCACUUUAUUAAUAGAGGAAAAAUGUGAAGAGAAAAUAAAAUAAGAAAAAGUUAGAAGUUGCGCGGUGGUUGCCACAAUGGUGGAGGGAGGCACUAGGGGCGACAUUUGGAGAAAAAUGAGAGGGGAGAAGUGGCAAGAUGGUGGUUCAGUGGUGAGGUGAUGGUGGUGCAAAGCUAGGAACAGUGGGAGAAAAAUAAAAAGAAAGCAAAAAGGGAGGUUGGGAGCUAAUUAAAAGAGAAAAAAAAGGAAAUGGAGAGGAGAAAUGGGUGGUGCGGCAAUGAGGGAAGGAUAGUGAGAGGAUGGAUGGAAAAAGUGUGGUCAAUCUUGUCUAGGUUCAAUGAAUU